rnacentral:rRNA from 1 species
AAGAGGCCGGCAGUCAGACUGUGGGUGAUAAGGUCCAUGGUCGAGAGGGAAACAGCCCAGACCGCCAGCAAAGGUCCCGAAAUACAGGCUAAGUGGAAAAGGAUGUGGGGACGCACGGACAGCUAGGAGGUUGGCUCAGAAGCAGCCAUCCUUUGAAGAGUGCGUAACAGCUCACUAGUCGAGUGGCCCUGCGCCGAAAAUGUACCGGGGCUAAGCCUGAUACCGAAGCUGCGGAUGUAUUCGAAAGAGUAUGUGGUAGGGGAGCGUUGCAUGCAGGAAGAAGUAUCACUGAGAAGGGAUAUGGACAGCAUGGAAGUGAGAAUGCCGGUGUGAGUAGCGAGAUGCAGGUGAGAAUCCUGCACACCGAAAGCCCAAGGAUUCCAGGGGAAGGUUCGUCCGCCCUGGGUAAGUCGGGACCUAACGCGAGGCCGAGAGGCGUAGUGGAUGGAAAGCAGGCGGAGAUUCCUGCACCCGCGAGAUACGAGGCGAAGGAGUGACGGAGACGGAGUAGGCGACCCUCUGAAUGGAUUGAGGGCCAAGCGCAGCAGACGGAUACCAGGCAAAUCCGGUA